AUUGAACGCUGGCGGCAGGCCUAACACAUGCAAGUCGAAUGGUAACAGGAAACAGCUUGCUGUUUCGCUGACGAGUGGCGGACGGGUGAGUAAUGUCUGGGAAACUGCCUGAUGGAGGGGGAUAACUACUGGAAACGGUAGCUAAUACCGCAUAACGUCGCAAGACCAAAGAGGGGGACCUUCGGGCCUCUUGCCAUCGGAUGUGCCCAGAUGGGAUUAGCUAGUAGGUGGGGUAACGGCUCACCUAGGCGACGAUCCCUAGCUGGUCUGAGAGGAUGACCAGCCACACUGGAACUGAGACACGGUCCAGACUCCUACGGGAGGCAGCAGUGGGGAAUAUUGCACAAUGGGCGCAAGCCUGAUGCAGCCAUGCCGCGUGUAUGAAGAAGGCCUUCGGGUUGUAAAGUACUUUCAGCGGGGAGGAAGGGAGUAAAGUUAAUACCUUUGCUCAUUGACGUUACCCGCAGAAGAAGCACCGGCUAACUCCGUG
rnacentral:rRNA from 1 species